UUGAUUCCCUCCUCGCUCUCCCUCUCGCACCGAUCCCUUUCCUUUCUCCUCAUCUUCGCCGGCGUCACUCCAUUGCUAUUCACUCCCUCUCCCGAGCCCUCUUCUCCUCAGCCAGCGAUGCCUUGCAAUCCCGAAGCUGCAGCGUCACCUCUCAUCUUCCACACGGCACUGAUUGAUGGGCUCUCGUUAAAACUCACCGACCCUGGUGCCGCUCCGCUAGAUCGUCACGCUACCGCCUUCCCAUACCUAGCCACGGACGCCAAGCACUCGCCGAAAGCACCUGAGCUUCCUUUUCGACCAUGCCCUAGAUCUCUCUAGUUGACCGCUGACGAUUCACCUGGAGUCGGCAUUCUACAGAUCUAUCCUUUGACAUCAUUACAGUGCCACGGGGACGAGGGGAACAAUUCUUGGUGCGCCUGAGAAUGCCAACCGGAUUCAAUUUUAGGGAGAAGAGCACGACAUUGUGACACCAGAGGUUUCCUACUUCCGGUAGCAACUUCACAAAUGGCAUUUUGGAUCUUUCUCGAGCGACUGUGGGUUUGAGUGGAGAGCUCCCUCUUCAUCAUAGCAACCUCUGGUUCUUUCGCCAAGCGAUUGCGGAUCUGAUUUAGGUAGCAGGUAGAUGAUUAUGGAGUCGCUUGGAGUAUCAUGUCUGUCGGUACCACGUUACAUCCGAGGAUGGUUUUGGGUUUUGUUUCUUACUUUACAUACUUUACGAAUUUGUGAACUUGACAUUAUAUAAUUUGACUUUGUUUUAGAGUUUUGCUAUGUGGUGUUAUGUAUUUGGUUUGUUGUAUAAAGCCUAGCCAGCUAGCAGUCUGUCGUUUUUGGUUUAUGGGCAUUCCUUUUAUUUUCCACUAUGUUUUUAG